rnacentral:rRNA from 1 species
UACGAAGGGGGCUAGCGUUGUUCGGAAUUACUGGGCGUAAAGCGCGCGCAGGCGGCUCUUCAAGUCAGGGGUGAAAGCCCAGAGCUCAACUCUGGAACUGCCUUUGAGACUGAAGAGCUUGAGUACGGGAGAGGUGAGUGGAAUUCCCAGUGUAGAGGUGAAAUUCGUAGAUAUUGGGAAGAACACCGGUGGCGAAGGCGGCGCACUGGCCCGUUACUGACGCUCAGGCGCGACAGCGUGGGGAUCAAACAGG